rnacentral:sRNA from 1 species
GCCGGGCAUGGUGGUGCAUGCCUGUAGUCCCAGCUACUCGGGAGGCUGAGGCUGGAGGAUCGCUUGAGCCCAGGAGUUUGAGGUGGCUGUGAGCUAGGCUGACACCACGGCACUCACUCUAGCCUGGGCAACAAAGCGAGACUCUGUCUCAAAAAAAUAAAUAAAUAAAUAAAUAUAGAAAAAACUAGCUGGGAGUGGUAGUAUACUCUUGUAGUCCUGGAUACUGUAUUCCAACCUGUGUGACAGAGGGAGACCUUGUUUCU